rnacentral:rRNA from 1 species
UACGAAGGGUGCAAGCGUUGUUCGGAAUUAUUGGGCGUAAAGCGCGUGUAGGCGGGCCUUUAUGUCAGGUGUGAAAUCUCGGAGCUCAACUUCGAAACUGCGCCUGAAACUGGAGGUCUAGAAUUCUAGCGGGGAGAGGGGAAUUUCUCAUGUAGAGGUAAAAUCCGUAGAUAUGAGAAGGAACACCUGAGGCGAAAGCGCCUCUCUGGAUAGAUAUUGACGCUAAUACGCGAAAGCGUGGGGAGCAAACAGG